rnacentral:rRNA from 1 species
GCAGGCUGCAACUCGCCUGCGUCAAGUUGGAAUUGCUAGUAAUCGCGGAUCAGCAUGCCGCGGUGAAUACGUUCCCGGGCCUUGUACACACCGCCCGUCACACCAUGAGAGUCGGGAACACCCGAAGUCCGUAGUCUAACCGCAAGGAGGGCGCGGCCGAAGGUGGGUUCGAUAAUUGGGGUGAAGUCGUAACAAGGUAUC